rfam:Corchorus olitorius cultivar O-4 contig11913, whole genome shotgun sequence.
UAAUGAAAAUGAUGAAAGAAUUGUAUGGGUGAUGAUCAACCUUUGAUCAUCUGAUCAAAAAUUAAUUCGCUACGUUCUUUCUGAUUCUGUU